rfam:Populus trichocarpa scaffold_1_contig_300, whole genome shotgun sequence.
GCAUUGGCGGAUGCGGCAUCAUCAAGAUUCACAAGCUUUAAGGCUUGAGUGAGAGGGGUGGCAUACGGUCACCUCCUUUAGCAAGCUUUAAGGCUUGAGUGAGAGGGGUGGCAUACGGUCACCUCCUUUAGUCCAAAGGGUCCUUUUUUAUGGGAAUCUUGAUGAUGCUGCAUCGGCAAAUAC